rnacentral:rRNA from 1 species
UGACGGUACCUACAGAGGAAGCACCGGCUAACUCCGUGCCAGCAGCCGCGGUAAUACGGAGGAUGCAAGCGUUAUCCGGAUUUAUUGGGUUUAAAGGGUGCGUAGGCGGUAUGGUAAGUCAGCGGUGAAAUGUCCACGCUUAACGUGGAACGUGCCGUUGAUACUGUCGUACUGGAAUUCGGUUGCCGUGGGAGGAAUGUGUAGUGUAGCGGUGAAAUGCUUAGAUAUUACACAGAACACCAAUUGCGAAGGCAUCUCACGAAACCGACAUUGACGCUGAGGCACGAAAGUGUGGGGAUCAAACAGGAUUAGAUACCCUGGUAGUCCACACUGUAAACGAUGAUAACUAACCGUUGGCGAUAUACAGUCAGUGGCUAAGCAAAAGCGAUAAGUUAUCCACCUGGGGAGUACGUUCGCAAGAAUGAAACUCAAAGGAAUUGACGGGGGCCCGCACAAGCGGAGGAACAUGUGGUUUAAUUCGAUGAUACGCGAGGAACCUUACCCGGGCUCGAACGGCUGGUGAAGAGAUCCAGAGAUGGUGUCGUCCGCAAGGACACCAGUCGAGGUGCUGCAUGGUUGUCGUCAGCUCGUGCCGUGAGGUGUCGGCUUAAGUGCCAUAACGAGCGCAACCCUUGUCGUCAGUUGCCAUCAGGUAAUGCUGGGGACUCUGGCGAGACUGCCACCGCAAGGUGUGAGGAAGGGGGGGAUGACGUCAAAUCAGCACGGCCCUUACGUCCGGGGCGACACACGUGUUACAAUGGUGGGUACAGAAGGAAGCUACCUGGCGACAGGGUGCAAAUCUUCAAAACCCAUCUCAGUUCGGAUUGGAGUCUGCAACUCGACUCCAUGAAGUUGGAUUCGCUAGUAAUCGCGCAUCAGCCAUGGCGCGGUGAAUACGUUCCCGGGCCUUGCACACACCGCCCGUCAAG